AGUGGGGAAUAUUGGGCAAUGGGCGCAAGCCUGACCCAGCAACGCCGCGUGAGGGAAGAAGGCCUUCGGGUUGUAAACCUCUGUCCUUAGGGACGNNNNNNNUGACGGUACCUAAGGAGGAAGCUCCGGCUAACUACGUGCCAGCAGCCGCGGUAAUACGUAGGGAGCAAGCGUUGUCCGGAAUUACUGGGCGUAAAGGGUGCGUAGGUGGCCAAGCAAGUCAGAUGUGAAAUCCCCGGGCUUAACUCGGGUGCUGCAUUUGAAACUGCGUGGCUUGAGUGCAGGAGAGGAAAGCGGAAUUCCUAGUGUAGCGGUGAAAUGCGUAGAUAUUAGGAGGAACACCAGUGGCGAAGGCGGCUUUCUGGACUGUAACUGACACUGAGGCACGAAAGCGUGGGGAGCAAACAGGAUUAGAUACCCUGGUAGUCCACGCUGUAAACGAUGGAUACUAGGUGUGGGGGAGAUACAACCUCCGUGCCGCAGCAAACGCAAUAAGUAUCCCGCCUGGGGAGUACGGUCGCAAGACUGAAACUCAAAGGAA
rnacentral:rRNA from 1 species